rnacentral:rRNA from 1 species
CCUACGGGUGGCAGCAGUGAGGAAUAUUGGUCAAUGGACGAGAGUCUGAACCAGCCAAGUAGCGUGAAGGAUGACUGCCCUAUGGGUUGUAAACUUCUUUUAUAUGGGAAUAAAAUGUUCCACGUGUGGGAUUUUGUAUGUACAAUAUGAAUAAGGAUCGGCUAACUCCGUGCCAGCAGCCGCGGUAAUACGGAGGAUCCGAGCGUUAUCCGGAUUUAUUGGGUUUAAAGGGAGCGUAGGUGGAUUGUUAAGUCAGUUGUGAAAGUUUGCGGCUCAACCGUAAAAUUGCAGUUGAAACUGGCAGUCUUGAGUACAGUAGAGGUGGGCGGAAUUCGUGGUGUAGCGGUGAAAUGCUUAGAUAUCACGAAGAACUCCGAUUGCGAAGGCAGUUCACUGGACUGCAACUGACACUGAGGCUCGAAAGUGUGGGUAUCAAACAGGAUUAGAUACCCGUGUAGUC